rnacentral:rRNA from 2 species
CAACUGAAGAGUUUGAUCAUGGCUCAGAUUGAACGCUGGCGGCAGGCUUAACACAUGCAAGUCGAGCGGAAACGAUCCUAGCUUGCUAGGAGGCGUCGAGCGGCGGACGGGUGAGUAAUGCAUGGGAAUCUGCCCGAUAGUGGGGGACAACCUGGGGAAACUCAGGCUAAUACCGCAUACGUCCUACGGGAGAAAGCAGGGGAUCUUCGGACCUUGCGCUAUCGGAUGAGCCCAUGUCGGAUUAGCUUGUUGGUGAGGUAAUGGCUCACCAAGGCGACGAUCCGUAGCUGGUCUGAGAGGAUGAUCAGCCACACUGGGACUGAGACACGGCCCAGACUCCUACGGGAGGCAGCAGUGGGGAAUAUUGGACAAUGGGCGAAAGCCUGAUCCAGCCAUGCCGCGUGUGUGAAGAAGGCCUUCGGGUUGUAAAGCACUUUCAGCGAGGAAGAACGCCUUGGGA